AUUAAGUGCAAUUAUUGUGCAAAGUUUUACAAAUCAAAUAAUCAGCAGUAAAAUUCCACUGGUUUCCAUGGAGACUGCUCCACGUUCAAUGGCUUACUCUGCACCAGUCUGUUCCUAAUUAGAAUUGUGUACACAUCUAGGCCUAGGUACUUUAUGAUCAGUACAUGUAUCAGGUCAUAUUUACUAUUUAAAGCAAGGAUCACAGAGCAUUACAAUUAAACAAAAGUCUGUGGACAUAUAUUUUUACUUUAGAAGCAACAUUUACUUCUACCAAUCAAUUGAUAACAUUUAUUUUUCUUACAUCCGUGACCCAAUCACAAAAUAUAUUAAUGUAGUAUUAUUUUCGGUACUUUGAGUGAAUUUUAUUCAAGCAAUGUACUAGAACACUGAAUAUAAUAUUUUAAUAGAUACUAGUUCUAGUUUCCAAAGAAACUUGUGUUGGUAUAUUUAUUAUAAAUGUUUGUUGAUUUGUUACACAUAUAAACGAUUUGCAGUCAUGUGCACUUACACUCUCACACUGUAGGGGCAGCAUGCACAAAACUCUUACAUGGAAAGAAAGAAAU